AAUUUCAAAUCGAAGUUUGAAAUUAAAUUAGAAUUUAGAAUUCCAAAUGUGAAUUUGAUUUUAAAAUUAAAAAUUUAAAAUGUCACGCCCCGGAUAUCACGUUUCCCAGGCACGCCGACAAAUCCGCCGUAUACAAAGAAAUUUUUUCUGUAUACAAAUCGAUACUGUAACUGUAUCUGUAAUAAUACAACACUACAACCAGUAGUAUAGAGCUGCUAGGGAAAAAGAACAUGCGUAUAUAAUAAAAAUGGAACACGACAUAUACAGUAUCCUGAUACAAAAAUACUCGCUCCAGCGAGGUAUAACAUCAGUAUGUAAUGAACCAAAAACUAUAACUACCUGUAGCUAGUACUCC
rnacentral:lncRNA from 1 species